AGAGAUAAGUGUGAUCUGGCUGCAAGAUCUGAAUCCCCGUCGAUUGGCAGGUUUGAGUCAGCUAAACUGGUUGGCCAGGCUGAUGUCCCUGUCAUUCCUCAUUGCUCCAUGAGCACCCUUUCCGGAGCUGCUCACUCAGAUGAAGACAAUGACCUUCCCCAUUAAAGAAGGACCAUUCUUCAGUCAAGGAUGUAGGAGCAGCCUGCUUCUCUUGCCUUACCCUCCAAACAGGUCACAAGAUGUUGAAGACCCAACUUGCUUCAUUAAAAAGAACUUUUCUUGAAAAUGGGUAUUUU
rnacentral:snRNA from 1 species